GGGGAAGGCGCGGCCCUGCAGGUCCGGGCGAGUGCCCAGAGGGGCUGCGGCCCCUGUGUCAGACACGGCAUCGAUACAAACAUUUCCUAAGAGGUGUACCUAGCACUUUUAUUGUGAUGGAGCACAGACUGCGCCAUGAUUUCUGAAGAGGCUGCUCUUUAAAGGGAGAUACAAAACAACAAGAGCAUUCAUAUAAUAGAUCAUCAUUUAAGAGCAAGUUCAGCAAGUUGCUCUGAAUUUACCCAGCUAUAGAAGACAGCUGAUUUCAUUUGAGCCAUACAAGAGGCAAUCUUAUUUUGCUUUCUCUUGGAUUAUGGAAGCAUGUCAAUCAAUGCCCAGGGCCAGUCCAUACAACACAGCUGUGCCAGAUCUUCCUCAGACCACACUGAAGACAAGAGGCACUUAUUAGGAGCAGCAGUUUGUUUCAAGUGCUUCCUCACCCGUGUCAUCCAUGGUAUGUGACUGGGAAGAGCGCAGCUGGCCUGCAGUGGCUAAACCUUUUAAUUCUACUUGGGGGAAUCUGACAGGACAAAAUAAAGGAGAGCAGCAAAACCUGACUUCAUUUUUCUAGUUGAAGUGAUGCAUGGCUUUUCUGUGUGUCCUGUAACUCGGCAGCACUGGAUAUGGAAAGCGGAUGAUAUGUGAACACUCUCCAGCACUAGAAAGCUUCAGAGUUUUGAUUAGGUAACAAAAUUGAAAAAGUGAGUUUGCUUUCCCUGUUCAAUCUCUGUGAUUUAAAUUUCAGUAUAACAAAGAUGCCUAAGCAGUGAGCUGCCCUCUCCC